CAGUCGCCACGGGAAUACGUAGGGUGCAAGCGUUAAUCGGAAUUACUGGGCGUAAAGCGUGCGCAGGCGGUUAUAUAAGACAGAUGUGAAAUCCCCGGGCUCAACCUGGGAACUGCAUUUGUGACUGUAUAGCUAGAGUACGGCAGAGGGGGAUGGAAUUCCGCGUGUAGCAGUGAAAUGCGUAGAUAUGCGGAGGAACACCGAUGGCGAAGGCAAUCCCCUGGGCCUGUACUGACGCUCAUGCACGAAAGCGUGGGGAGCAAACAGGAUUAGAUACCCCCGUAGUCCCUGUCUCUUAUAA
rnacentral:rRNA from 1 species